UUUACAAAUAGCUAACAUCACCACUCUCCAACUGAGGAACUGGGUAUCAAAAACUGAGUGUUCCUAUGGUCACAAAGUUCAGAUGGUAGAAAACAGAUUUGACCCUGAAGCCCUGGCUAGAGGCUGUGGUGCUGACCUGACUCCUUUGAACUCUUCUGCCCUGUAUAAGGAAAACUUCCUCACUUUUCUUCUAUGUCUUGUCUAGAAGACUGAUUCCUGACAUGGUCCCCCAACUUCUGCAGACCACCACAGACCACAACACCUCCUCUAACUGCUGCUCACUGAGGAAGAGGUUCUGGGAAACAAGGUUCCUUAUUGCCGUUGCUGCUGCUGCUGCUCUUGUUGUUGUUGUUGUGUGCACAAUGAGGGGUGCAUGGGUGCUACCAUGCAAGUGUGAAGGCGGGGGAGAACUUUGUGGGGUCAGUUCUCUCCUACCACCCUCAGAAGGGCUCCAGUGAUCAAACUCAAAUCAUCAAACAUGUACAGCAAGCACUUUUCCCACUGAGCCAUCUUACCUGAGGCCCUUCCUUGCAAAGCCGUGCCUUCUGCACAGCUCAAUGUUUGUUGAAUAGAUUGACUAAUAAAACCAGCUUAAAAUAAAGGUAGAACACCCAGAACACGCCUCCAACCCCUAACCCCCACAUGAGGGCACCUUACUUUCGAACUCCUCCUAGAGGGAAGACUUUUUCUCCAAUCAUGGCCAGCACGCUAUUCCAAUCUGACAGGCUGAAUUUGGGUAUAAUAACUUUUAUAGGAGGGAUAAAUAAUCUUCCAUUUGUGAAAACGCUGUAAGGGUAAAAAGAAAAAGCAUCAUUACUGCCUUAAAAUUGAGAGGGAACACUGUAUUCAAAAAAAAAAAACACAGAUGUACUUACAGAAAUGCAAAAACAUUCUGAUAGACUGAUUAACCCUUAACAGUGCGUGGAGUCCUACAGAGCAGUCUUCAUGUCCACUAACACAACAAUGGCUUUAGGACAGUACUGUUUCGUUUUGCACUGCACUGCAUUGGGAUGGGGUCCCAUAUAGCCCAAACUGAUCUCAAGCUCACUGUGCAGCCACAAAUGACCUUGAACUUCCGGCGCUCCUGUCUUCACCUCCAAGCACUGACAUUAUAGACAUACGCCACCACUUCUGGCUUAUGAGUCACUAGGGAUGGAGCCUAGGGCUUCCUGCAUGUGAGGCCACAUGGUUAACAACUGAGCUCUGUGCACAGCUUGGAAAGCAUCUUUUUAUAUAGCUAAAGGUGCCAAAAUGAAUGUGACAUAAUUAUACUUCCCAAAAAUACGUUUCCUAUGGUGGG
rnacentral:lncRNA from 1 species